rnacentral:rRNA from 1 species
UACAUGGGGUGCAAACGUUGCUCGGAAUUAUUGGGCGUAAAGCGCACGUAGGCGGUUCGUUAAGUCGGAUGUGAAAGCCCUCGGCUCAACUGAGGAAGUGCACCCGAAACUGGCGAGCUUGAGUACGAAAGAGGAUCGCGGAAUUCCCGGUGUAGAGGUGAAAUUCGUAGAUAUUCGGAAGAACACCAGUGGCGAAGGCGACUUACUGGACACAUAUUGACGCUGAGGUGCGAAAGCGUGGGGAGCAAACAGG